GGCGCACGGGUGAGUAACGCGUAGGGAUCUGCCCUGUAGUGGGGGAUAACUCGGGGAAACUCGAGCUAAUACCGCAUACGCUCUUCGGAGGAAAGGUGGCUUCGGCUAUCACUAUAGGAGGAACCUGUGUUCGAUUAGCUAGUUGGUGGGGUAAAGGCCUACCAAGGCGACGAUCGAUAGCUGUUCUGAGAGGAUGAUCAGCCACACUGGGACUGAGACACGGCCCAGACUCCUACGGGAGGCAGCAGUGGGGAAUAUUGGACAAUGGGGGCAACCCUGAUCCAGCAAUGCCGCGUGUGUGAAGAAGGCCUUCGGGUUGUAAAGCACUUUCAAUUGAGAGGAAAGGUGUUUGGUUAAUACCCAAGCACUGUGACGUUACCAAUAGAAGAAGCACCGGCUAACUCUGUGCCAGCUGCCGCGG
rnacentral:rRNA from 1 species